rnacentral:rRNA from 1 species
UACGUAGGUGGCGAGCGUUAUCCGGAAUGAUUGGGCGUAAAGCGAGCGCAGGUGGUUUAUUAAGUCUGGUGUAAAAGGCAGUGGCUCAACCAUUGUAUGCAUUGGAAACUGGUAGACUUGAGUGCAGGAGAGGAGAGUGGAAUUCCAUGUGUAGCGGUGAAAUGCGUAGAUAUAUGGAGGAACACCGGUGGCGAAAGCGGCUCUCUGGCCUGUAACUGACACUGAGGCUCGAAAGCGUGGGGAGCAAACAGG